rnacentral:rRNA from 1 species
GUGGGGAAUAUUGGACAAUGGGCGCAAGCCUGAUCCAGCCAUGCCGCGUGAGUGAUGAAGGCCCUAGGGUUGUAAAGCUCUUUCACCGGAGAAGAUAAUGACGGUAUCCGGAGAAGAAGCCCCGGCUAACUUCGUGCCAGCAGCCGCGGUAAUACGAAGGGGGCUAGCGUUGUUCGGAUUUACUGGGCGUAAAGCGCACGUAGGCGGAUCGUUAAGUCGGGGGUGAAAUCCUGGAGCUCAACUCCAGAACUGCCUUCGAUACUGGCGAUCUUGAGUCCGGAAGAGGUGAGUGGAACUCCUAGUGUAGAGGUGGAAUUCGUAGAUAUUAGGAAGAACACCAGUGGCGAAGGCGGCUCACUGGUCCGGUACUGACGCUGAGGUGCGAAAGCGUGGGGAGCAAACAGGAUUAGAUACCCCAGUAGUCC